rnacentral:rRNA from 1 species
UACGUAGGGUGCAAGCGUUAAUCGGAAUUACUAGGGCGUAAAGCGUGCGCAGGCGGUGAUGUAAGACAGAUGUGGAAAUCCCCGGGCUCAACCUGGGAACUGCAUUUGUGACUGCAUCGCUGGAGUGGCGGCAGAGGGGGAUGGAAUUCCGGCGUGUAGCAGUGAAAUGCGUAGAUAUGCGGAGGAACACCGAUGGCGAAGGCAUCCCCUGGGCCUGCACUGACGCUCAUGCACGAAAGCGUGGGGAGCAAACAGG